GAUAAACGCUAGCGGCAGGCUUAACACACGCAAGUCGAGGGGCAGCAUAGAUUGUAGCAAUACAAUUGGUGGCGCCCGGCGCACGGGGGCGUAACGCGUAUGCAACCUACCCGUCACAGGGGGAUAAUCCGGAGCAAUCUGGUCUAAUACCCCAUAACAUAUGGAAUGGCAGCCGUUCAGGUUGAAAUUUUCGGGGGUCACGGAGGGGCAUGCGUAGCAUUCGGUUGUUGGUGAGGUAACGGCUCACCAAGGCGACGAUGCUUAGGGGGACUGAGAGGUUUUCCCCCCACUGGUACUGAGACACGGACCAGACUCCUACGGGAGGCAGCAGUGAGGAAUAUUGGUCAAUGGGCGCAAGCCUGAACCAGCCAUGCCGCGUGCAGGAUGACGGCUCUAUGAGUUGUAAACUGCUUUUGUACGAGGGUAAAGUGGGUUACGUGUAACCUUUUGAAAGUAUCGUACGAAUAAGGAUCGGCUAACUCCGUGCCAGCCGCCGCAGUAA
rnacentral:rRNA from 1 species